rfam:Oryza sativa Japonica Group DNA, chromosome 8, cultivar: Nipponbare, complete sequence.
GAUGCAUAUGAUGAGAAGCAAGACAGGGACAUCAGCACCCCCUUUCUGUGAAGGUGGGGAGUGAUCGACUAAAGUCUCAAUGGGAAUCUCUCUGAUGCAUA